rnacentral:rRNA from 1 species
AGAGUUUGAUCCCGGCUCAGAAUCAACGCUGGCGGCGCGCCUAACACAUGCAAGUCGAACGAGAAAGCCGGAGCAAUCUGGUGAGUACAGUGGCGUACGGGUGAGUAACACGUGGAUGAUCUACCCCCUAGUGAGGAAUAACCAUGGGAAACCGUGGCUAAUACCGCAUGAGCUCGAGAGAGGAAAGUCAAAAGACGCUGAGGGAGGAGUCCGCGGCCGAUUAGCUAGUUGGCAGGGUAAAAGCCUACCAAGGCGAAGAUCGGUAGCCGGCCUGAGAGGGCACACGGCCACACUGGCACUGAAACACGGGCCAGACUCCUACGGGAGGCAGCAGUGGGGAAUCUUGCACAAUGGGGGAAACCCUGAUGCAGCGACGCCGCGUGAGCGAUGAAGCCCUUCGGGGUGUAAAGCUCUUUCGGCAGGGAAGAUAGUGACGGUACCUGCAGAAGCAGCUGCGGCUAACUACGUGCCAGCAGCCGCGGUAAUACGUAGGCAGCGAGCGUUGUUCGGAGUUACUGGGCGUAAAGGGUGUGUAGGCGGUUGUUUAAGUUUGGUGUGAAAUCUCCCGGCUCAACUGGGAGGGUGCGCCGAAUACUGGAUGACUUCGAGUGCGGGAGAGGAAAGUGGAAUUCCUGGUGUAGCGGUGAAAUGCGUAGAUAUCAGGAGGAACACCGGUGGUGUAGACGGCUUUCUGGACCGUAACUGACGCUGAGACACGAAAGCGUGGGUAGCAAACAGGAUUAGAUACCCUGGUAGUCCACGCCCUAAACGAUGCAUAUUUGGUGUGGGCAGUUCAUUCUGUCCGUGCCGGAGCUAACGCGUUAAAUAUGCCGCCUGGGGAGUACAGUCGCAAGGCUGAAACUCAAAGGAAUUGACGGGGGCCCGCACAAGCGGUGGAGCAUGUGGUUCAAUUCGACCACGCGAAGAACCUUACCUGGGCUCGAACGGCUGGUCAACGGAGGUGGAAACAUCUUUACCCCGCAAGGGGGUCCAGUCGAGGUGCUGCAUGGCUGUCGUCAGCUCGUGUCGUGAGAUGUUGGGUUAAGUCCCGCAACGAGCGCAACCCUUGUCCUGUGUUGCCAUGCCGAAAGGCGGAACUCGCAGGAGACCGCCAGCGAUAAGCUGGAGGAAGGUGGGGAUGACGUCAAGUCCUCAUGGCCUUUAUGUCCAGGGCUACACACGUGCUACAAUGGCCGGUACAAAGCGUCGCUAACCCGCGAGGGGGAGCCAAUCGCAAAAAAACCGGUCUCAGUUCGGAUUGC